rnacentral:rRNA from 1 species
AGGACGAACGCUGGCGGCGUGCUUAACACAUGCAAGUCGAGCGGAAAGGCCCUUCGGGGUACUCGAGCGGCGAACGGGUGAGUAACACGUGAGUAAUCUGCCCCUAGCUCUGGGAUAGCUCCGGGAAACCGGGAUUAAUACCGGAUACGACCACCUUAGACAUCUUUUGUGGUGGAAAGAAUUUCGGCCAGGGAUGAGCUCGCGGCCUAUCAGCUUGUUGGUGGGGUAACGGCCUACCAAGGCGACGACGGGUAGCCGGCCUGAGAGGGCGACCGGCCACACUGGGACUGAGACACGGCCCAGACUCCUACGGGAGGCAGCAGUGGGGAAUAUUGCGCAAUGGGCGAAAGCCUGACGCAGCGACGCCGCGUGGGGGAUGAAGGCCUUCGGGUUGUAAACCCCUUUCAGCAGGGACGAAGCGAAAGUGACGGUACCUGCAGAAGAAGCGCCGGCUAACUACGUGCCAGCAGCCGC